rnacentral:rRNA from 1 species
UAGCAUAUCAAUAAGCGGAGGAAAAGAAACCAACAGGGAUUGCCCCAGUAACGGCGAGUGAAGCGGCAACAGCUCAAAUUUGAAAUCUGGCCCUCGGGUCCGAGUUGUAAUUUGUAGAGGAUGCUUUUGGCGAGGUGCCUUCCGAGUUCCCUGGAACGGGACGCCAUAGAGGGUGAGAGCCCCGUCUGGUCGGACACCGAGCCUCUGUAAAGCUCCUUCAACGAGUCGAGUAGUUUGGGAAUGCUGCUCAAAAUGGGAGGUAUAUGUCUUCUAAAGCUAAAUAUUGGCCAGAGACCGAUAGCGCACAAGUAGAGUGAUCGAAAGAUGAAAAGCACUUUGAAAAGAGGGUUAAAAAGUACGUGAAAUUGUUGAAAGGGAAGCGCUUAUGACCAGACUUGCGCCCGGUGAAUCAUCCAGCGUUCUCGCUGGUGCACUUUGCCGGGCACAGGCCAGCAUCAGUUUGGCGCGGGGGAAAAAGGCUUCGGGAAUGUGGCUCCCUCGGGAGUGUUAUAGCCCGCUGCGUAAUACCCUGCGCCGGACUGAGGUACGCGCAUCGCAAGGAUGCUGGCGUAAUGGUCAUCAGCGACCCGUCUUGAAACACGGACCAAGGAGUCGUCUUCGUAUGCGAGUGUUCGGGUGUCAAACCCCUACGCGUAAUGAAAGUGAACGUAGGUGAGAGCUUCGGCGCAUCAUCGACCGAUCCUGAUGUUCUCGGAUGGAUUUGAGUAAGAGCAUACGGGGCCGGACCCGAAAGAAGGUGAACUAUGCCUGUAUAGGGUGAAGCCAGAGGAAACUCUGGUGGAGGCUCGCAGCGGUUCUGACGUGCGAAUCGAUCGUCAAAUAUGGGCAUGGGGGGCGAAAGACUAAUCGAACCUUCUAGUAGCUGGUUUCCGCCGA